rnacentral:rRNA from 1 species
AUUGAACGCUGGCGGCAGGCCUAACACAUGCAAGUCGAGCGGAUGAAGGGAGCUUGCCCCUGGAUUCAGCGGCGGACGGGUGAGUAAUGCCUAGGAAUCUGCCUGGUAGUGGGGGAUAACGUCCGGAAACGGGCGCUAAUACCGCAUACGUCCUGAGGGAGAAAGAGGGGGAUCUUCGGACCUCACGCUAUCAGAUGAGCCUAGGUCGGAUUAGCUAGUUGGUGGGGUAAAGGCCUACCAAGGCGACGAUCCGUAACUGGUCUGAGAGGAUGAUCAGUCACACUGGAACUGAGACACGGUCCAGACUCCUACGGGAGGCAGCAGUGGGGAAUAUUGGACAAUGGGCGAAAGCCUGAUCCAGCCAUGCCGCGUGUGUGAAGAAGGUCUUCGGAUUGUAAAGCACUUUAAGUUGGGAGGAAGGGCAGUAAGUUAAUACCUUGCUGUUUUGACGUUACCAACAGAAUAAGCACCGGCUAACUUCGUG